rnacentral:rRNA from 1 species
AACGAACGCUGGCGGUAUGCCUAACACAUGCAAGUCGAACGGUAGCAGGGACUUCGGUCCGCUGACGAGUGGCGAACGGGUGCGUAACACGUGGAUUACCUGCCUCAAGAUGGGGGAUAACGACUGGAAACAGUUGCUAAUACCGCAUACGCCCUACGGGGUAAAGGCUUCGGCCGUCUUGAGAGGGGUUCGCGCCGGAUUAGCUAGUUGGUGAGGUAAUGGCUCACCAAGGCAACGAUCCGUAGCUGGUCUGAGAGGAUGAUCAGCCACACUGGGACUGAGACACGGCCCAG